rnacentral:rRNA from 1 species
GAUGGACGCUGGCGGUAUGCCUAACACAUGCAAGUCGAACGGACUCUUCGGAGUUAGUGGCGGACGGGUGAGUAACGCGUGAGAAUCUGGCUUUGGGUUCGGGACAACCACUGGAAACGGUGGCUAAUACCGGAUGUGCCGAGAGGUAAAAGAGAAAUUGCCUGAAGAUGAGCUCGCGUCUGAUUAGCUAGUUGGUGAGGUAAAGGCUCACCAAGGCAGCGAUCAGUAGCUGGUCUGAGAGGAUGACCAGCCACACUGGGACUGAGACACGGCCCAGACUCCUACGGGAGGCAGCAGUGGGGAAUUUUCCGCAAUGGGCGAAAGCCUGACGGAGCAAUACCGCGUGAGGGAAGAAGGCUCUUGGGUUGUAAACCUCUUUUCUUAGGGAAGAACAAAAUGACGGUACCUAAGGAAUCAGCAUCGGCUAACUCCGUG